rnacentral:rRNA from 1 species
CUGCUGCCUCCCGUAGGAGUCUGGGCCGUGUCUCAGUCCCAAUGUGGCCGUUCAACCUCUCAGUCCGGCUACCGAUCGUCGGCUUGGUGGGCCGUUACCUCACCAACUACCUAAUCGGACGCGAGCCCAUCUUCGAGCGAUAAAUCUUUGGUACAGACAGGAUGUCCCAUCCGUACAUUAUGCGGUAUUAGCGACCGUUUCCAGCCGUUAUUCCCCUCUCAAAGGCAGGUUGCUCACGUGUUACUCACCCGCCCGCCA